rnacentral:piRNA from 1 species
CUGGGAAUAGUUGGUUUUGAAAAUCAUAAA